ensembl:lncRNA CASC15 cancer susceptibility 15
GGAUGCAAUGGAGAACAUUUACAGAGGACUGUGGGUAAAGCAAAGUCUUCAAGGGAAGAUAACAAAGGAUGAAACAAUGGUGUUGUGUGACUUCCUAGUGUGAAUCAUGGCAAUACAGUGAAAGACAGUGAUUUACUGCUUUUGAGGGCGUGCAUGUAUAUGAUUAACGGAUGGAAGUGCAGGACUCCAAGAUUUACUUCCUUCCCUUUCCAGCAGAAUUACCUGAGACGAGUAAAAUCUACUGGUGGAGUCACUCCAUUAUUCUUAUCUGUGGAGAUCUAGAUCUUGAUUUGAAAGUUUCUGAGAAAAUCUUCAGCUCAGACUUGAGGGUCAACUUUACCAGCUGAAGGAUCUGCAUUUACUGCUCAACCACAUCUAAUUUGAUGUCCUCUGCAGAUUUAAAAUGUGUGCCUUCUUUUCCGUCACCAAGUCAUCCCUGGGUUACUACUGAACAUCCUUCUCAAUUCCCCCCGACCCAUGGAUGGCUGUUCUCCAUUGUCUGUUUCACCAGAUGUCCUCAAAACAAACAGACAGAAGAAGGAAGUGGCUAAUGGAGCUGUGGAGUCCAAGUGUGACUGCCAAGAGGAAUCCAGCAAAGCCAAAAAGCCCAAGCAUGUAGCCCUGCCCGAAGCACGCCACACGCAUGGAAAACCCAGAGGAAAUGAGUGAGGAUCAAUGGGAAGAAGAGAGCCAGCCAGGAAGUUGAAGAUUUGUCCAGGAGCAGAUAGCUGAAGAGAGAGAGAGAGAAGAGAGAACGGCUUACAGCUCAGGUCCUCUCUCCAUGCUUAGGAACCACUACAAAUGCUACUGCCUUGAGUCUCAUUUUGUUUCCCUCUGGAAACCACAUGUGUACCUUGUUUGCAACAGUAUGGAGCCAGAGGCAGUAUGUCACAUUAACCUUCAUUAACUGCCCAAGAAAUGAGUUCUGGAGACCAGAAGGCCAAAAUCAAAAGUAUGGGCAGGCUUGAUUUCUUUAGAAGACUCCAGCGGAGAACUGUGUCUCCUUGCUUCUGAUUCUACAUCUCCAUCCAUGGGCCACUGUUUCAGCAACCUCAGCCAGUGCAACACAACCUCAGCCAAGAAGAGUAUGCAGAGAAAGGAGUCCCCUACCUGCCACAAAACUGUUGUCUGAAAACUGUCUCAUAUUGUCUCAAGUUGUCAUUCAUUGUGAAUUAGACCUGUUUAACA